AGGGGGCUAGCGUUGCUCGGAAUCACUGGGCGUAAAGGGCGCGUAGGCGGCGUUUUAAGUCGGGGGUGAAAGCCUGUGGCUCAACCACAGAAUUGCCUUCGAUACUGGGACGCUUGAGUGUGGUAGAGGUUGGUGGAACUGCGAGUGUAGAGGUGAAAUUCGUAGAUAUUGGGAAGAACACCGGUGGCGAAGGCGGCUCACUGGCUCGUAACUGACGCUCAUGCACGACAGCGUGGGGAUCAAACAGG
rnacentral:rRNA from 1 species